CCGGGUGGCGACCGGCGCACGGGUGAGUAACGCGUAUGCAACUUACCUAUCAGAGGGGGAUAACCCGGCGAAAGUCGGACUAAUACCGCAUGAAGCAGGGGCCCCGCAUGGGGAUAUUUGCUAAAGAUUCAUCGCUGAUAGAUAGGCAUGCGUUCCAUUAGGCAGUUGGCGGGGUAACGGCCCACCAAACCGACGAUGGAUAGGGGUUCUGAGAGGAAGGUCCCCCACAUUGGUACUGAGACACGGACCAAACUCCUACGGGAGGCAGCAG
rnacentral:rRNA from 1 species